rnacentral:rRNA from 1 species
CUACGGGGGGCUCCAGCAGGGAAUAUUGCACAAUGGACGGAAGUCUGAUGCAGCGACGCCGCGUGGAUGAUGAAGGCCUUCGGGUUGUAAAAUCCUUUUCAGGGAGAAGAGGAAGGACGGUAUCCCUGGAAUAAGCGUCGGCUAACUACGUGCCAGCAGCCGCGGUAAUACGUAGGACGCAAGCGUUAUCCGGAUUUACGGGGCGUAAAGCGUCUGUAGGCGGUUUAGUAAGUUUGAUGUGAAAGCUCCAGGCUCAACUUGGAGAGUGCAUUGAAUACUGCUAGACUUGAGGGGAUCAGAGGAAAGCGGAAUUUCCGGUGUAGCGGUAAAAUGCGCAGAUAUCGGAAAGAACACCAGUGGCGAAGGCGGCUUUCUGGGAUCAACCUGACGCCGAGAGACGAAAGCUAGGGUAGCGAACAGGAUUAGAUACCCCGGUAGUC